CCUUUUGGACUUUUCCUGUAGGUUCCGUGCUAACCUCUUCUGUGAGCUCACUCUGCCCCUCCUCCUCCUCCUCCUCCCUUUAACUCCCUCGAGGUUCCCCAUUGGCUUAAGCGUUGCUUCUGGU
ensembl:misc_RNA